GCUCAGUUGGUUGAGAGUUUGACUCUUGAUUUGGGCUCAGGUAACGAUCUCACGGUUCGUGAGUUCGAGCCCCGCAUUGGGCA
rnacentral:tRNA from 1 species